rnacentral:rRNA from 1 species
ACACGACUACAUUAGAUACCCGUGUAGUCCUAGCCGUAAACGAUACUCGCUAGGUGUCGGCCACGGUGCGACCGUUGUCGGUGCCGUAGGGAAGCCGUGAAGCGAGCCACCUGGGAAGUACGGCCGCAAGGCUGAAACUUAAAGGAAUUGGCGGGGGAGCACAACAACGGGUGGAGCUUGCGGUUUAAUUGGAUUCAACGCCGGAAAUCUUACCGGGACCGACAGCAACAUGAAGGCCAGGCUGAAGACUUUGCCGGAUUAGCUG